rnacentral:sRNA from 1 species
CCCGGUGCUUACGCACCGGGCUUUACUCUGCCGCCCGCUUGCGCGGGCU